AGAAUGAGAAGAUUAGAAAAACAGCAGGCCAGAAAGUAAAGUUGGGCAUCAGAAAGGACUUCCUGACUGUGAAGGGUGUGCACGAAUUAGGUUUGUUUGUUUUCCUUCCCUGGAGAUCUUUACUGGGCAGAGUGAAGAGAGCCAGGCUAGGGAGGGACAGCCUGUGGGGCAUUCAGAGCGACCUCUAGAGGUCAGCCCGGGACACACCACCCCUCUCUUGUCAGACUUGUACUCGGCACCCACCUCUUGCGAGGGCCGCUGCUACGAAGCCUUUGACAAGCACCACCAAUGUCACUGCAAUGCCCGCUGCCAAGAGUUUGGGAACUGCUGCAAGGAUUUUGAGAGCCUGUGUAGUGGCCAUGAGGGCUUCUCCCACAGCAGUGAUGCCAUAACCAAAGAGGAGAUUCAAAGCAUCUCUGAGAAGAUCUACAGGGCAGACACCAACAAGGCCCAGAAGGAAGACAUCAUUCUCAAUAGCCAAAACUGCAUCUCCCCGUCAGAGACCAGAGACCAAGUGGAUCGCUGCCCAAAGCCACUCUUCACUUAUGUCAAUGAGAAGCUGUUCUCCAAGCCCACCUAUGCAGCCUUCAUCAACCUCCUCAACAACUACCAGAGGGCGACAGGCCACGGGGAGCACUUCAGUGCCCAGGAGCUG
rnacentral:sRNA from 1 species